ensembl:ncRNA T25C12.10 ncRNA
UUUUUCCUGGACUUUUCUCCAACCCUCCUCAUCAUCAUCAUUGUUUUCUAUCUUUCUUCACACGUCCCGCUCCCACUGACAAAUGUUCUUUGGAGAAGGAUCUCUUCGAGAAAAGUGCGCCUAG